GAUGAACGCUGGCGGCGUGCCUAAUACAUGCAAGUCGAGCGAACGGACGAGGAGCUUGCUCCUCUGAUGUUAGCGGCGGACGGGUGAGUAACACGUGGAUAACCUACCUAUAAGACUGGGAUAACUUCGGGAAACCGGAGCUAAUACCGGAUAAUAUUUUGAACCGCAUGGUUCAAUAGUGAAAGACGGUUUUGCUGUCACUUAUAGAUGGAUCCGCGCCGCAUUAGCUAGUUGGUAAGGUAACGGCUUACCAAGGCAACGAUGCGUAGCCGACCUGAGAGGGUGAUCGGCCACACUGGAACUGAGACACGGUCCAGACUCCUACGGGAGGCAGCAGUAGGGAAUCUUCCGCAAUGGGCGAAAGCCUGACGGAGCAACGCCGCGUGAGUGAUGAAGGUCUUCGGAUCGUAAAACUCUGUUAUUAGGGAAGAACAUAUGUGUAAGUAACUGUGCACAUCUUGACGGUACCUAAUCAGAAAGCCACGGCUAACUACGUG
rnacentral:rRNA from 1 species